UACAGAGGGUGCAAGCGUUGUUCGGAAUUAUUGGGCGUAAAGGGCGCGUAGGCGGUGCUGUAAGUCUGUAGUGAAAUCUCUGGGCUCAACUCAGAGUCUGCUAUAGAAACUGCAGUGCUAGAGUGUGGGAGAGGUGAGUGGAAUUCCCGGUGUAGCAGUGAAAUGCGUAGAGAUCGGGAGGAACAUCCGUGGCGAAGGCGACUACCUGGACCAGCACUGACACUGAGGCACGAAAGCGUGGGGAGCAAACAGG
rnacentral:rRNA from 1 species